UAAUACGAAGGGGGCAAGCGUUGUUCGGAAUUACUGGGCGUAAAGGGCGCGUAGGCGGCUUAUCAAGUCAGGCGUGAAAUUCCCGGGCUCAACCUGGGGGCUGCGCUUGAUACUGAUGAGCUUGAAUGCGGGAGAGGAUAGUGGAAUUCCCAGUGUAGAGGUGAAAUUCGUAGAUAUUGGGAAGAACACCGGUGGCGAAGGCGGCUAUCUGGCCCGUAAUUGACGCUGAGGCGCGAAAGCGUGGGGAGCAAACAGGAUUAGAUACCCUGGUAGUCCACGCCGUAAACGAUGGGUGCUAGACGUUGGCGAGCUUGCUCGUCAGUGUCGCAGCUAACGCGUUAAGCACCCCGCCUGGGGAGUACGGCCGCAAGGUUG
rnacentral:rRNA from 1 species